rnacentral:rRNA from 1 species
GUGGGGAAUUUUGGACAAUGGGCGCAAGCCUGAUCCAGCCAUGCCGCGUGCAGGAUGAAGGCCUUCGGGUUGUAAACUGCUUUUGUACGGAACGAAAAGACUCCUUCUAAUAAAGGGGGUCCAUGACGGUACCGUAAGAAUAAGCACCGGCUAACUACGUGCCAGCAGCCGCGGUAAUACGUAGGGUGCAAGCGUUAAUCGGAAUUACUGGGCGUAAAGCGUGCGCAGGCGGUUAUACAAGAAAGAUGUGAAAUCCCCGGGCUCAACCUGGGAACUGCAUUUGUGACUGUAUAGCUAGAGUACGGUAGAGGGGGAAGGAAUUCCGCGUGUAGCAGUGAAAUGCGUAGAUAUGCGGAGGAACACCGAUGGCGAAGGCAAUCCCCUGGACCUGUACUGACGCUCAUGCACGAAAGCGUGGGGAGCAAACAGGAUUAGAAACCCUAGUAGUCC